CCUACGGGUGGCAGCAGUGAGGAAUAUUGGUCAAUGGACGCAAGUCUGAACCAGCCAUGCCGCGUGCAGGAAGAAGGCUCUAUGAGUUGUAAACUGCUUUUGUACGGGGGUAAAUGCAGAUACGCGUAACUGUCUGAAAGUAUCGUACGAAUAAGGAUCGGCUAACUCCGUGCCAGCAGCCGCGGUAAUACGGAGGAGUCAAGCGUUGUCCGGAUGUAUUGGGGUUAAAGGGUGCGUAGGGUGUGGGAUAAGUGAGAGGUGAAAUGCCGGGGCUCAACUUGGGAAUUGCCGCUGAUACUGUUCGGCUAGAGAGUAGUUGCGGUAGGCGGAAUGUAUGGUGUAGCGGUGAAAUGCGUAGAGAUC
rnacentral:rRNA from 1 species